rnacentral:rRNA from 1 species
AUACGUAGGUGACAAGCGUUAUCCGGAUUUACUGGGCGUAAAGGGCGUGUAGGCGGUCUUGCAAGUCAGAAGUGAAAUUCCUGAGCUCAACUCGGGCGCUGCUUCUGAAACUGCAGGACUUGAGUGCUGGAGGGGAUAGCGGAAUUCCUAGUGGAGCGGUAAAAUGCGCAGAUAUUAGGAAGAACACCGGUGGCGAAGGCGGCUAUCUGGACAGUAACUGACGCUGAGGCGCGAAAGCGUGGGGAGCAAACAGGAUUAGAUACCCUGGUAGUCCACGCCGUAAACGUUGAAUACUAGGUGUAGGGGGUAUCGACUCCCUCUGUGCCGCAGUUAACACAAUAAGUAUUCCGCCUGGGGAGUACGGCCGCAAGGUUGAAACUCAAAUGAAUUGACGGGG